UGUCCAGAUUACAAAGGAGGAACAUUGGA
rnacentral:piRNA from 1 species